rnacentral:lncRNA from 1 species
AACUUGUAAGAAAAUAAAACAAAAAAACCGAUGUCUCUCUCUUCUCUCUCUCCCUCACCUCCUCUUUAUUCUCUGCUUCGGAUCUCUAUCUCUCUCUCUCUCCCUGAUUAAACCUCUAAAAUCAGGUAAUUAUUUCUUUUAGUCAUCAUCAUAAUCGGUGAUUUCAAUCUCCGAUUGUUGUUUUUUUCGUUUAUCUUGCAGGGAGUUUUUUGGUUUCAGAUUCUCUGAAAAAUUAGCAAAGUCUUUGUUUUUUGUUUUCUGCUGUUUGCAUAGUUCCCAUUGAAGCUUUUUCUCACAAUCUUAAUGUUCUUAAGGUUAGAGUUUUGUUGCUGUUUUUUUUUUUUUUAUUUUGCAUUGGUCCAUUGCUCAACAAAUUUUCAAAACAGAAGACCAGAAAUAAUAAUUAAACAGCAUUAUGCAAAAACUAAAAGUUGCAGUUAGAUUUCGAAACAUAACAAACUUUAGCAAUUUCGGAUGUGUCGGUUAUAGCAUCGGUACUUCUAAAGCACAUUUUGAGAUUAUUCCUUUGCAUAAAUAUAAUAGCCUCUAUUGGCCUGAUAUCAAAGAGGUGUUACUAACUUACUAUCCUCAGUUCUUUCAGAACAGCAGAAGUGUGAUAAGGAAAUAAAAUUUACCUGAGACCAGCUGCAGAACUUUGUAGACUAAGAAGCUUGCCAUCGCUUAGUUGAUGGUUACCAUCUGCGCGCAUUCCCUAUGCUUAGAACAAGUUCUCAAUCAUUGAUUUUUGAAACAGAGAGGAUUUUGAUGCAACAAAUAAAAAACAAUUACCAGGCACCCUCCAUAUAACCCUCUUCCUAAUCUGAUCUUGAAAGCUUUAUUCAGCUUUAGCAGUUUCUUCGCAUCAAUAAGACGAGAUGAAAAAUACGUAAGCAAUGAGAUCCGCCGAACUUAUUUUUAACAACUGCAACAGAGAGACAUAGAGUAGUUUAUUGAGGAAAGGUUUAAGGACAUGCUCAGAUUCAAGAAGAGUUUAAUGACCACAAGGAAACAAUGUGAAUGAAUAGACAAAGUAUCCAAAAAGAAUCGAAAUAAAGCAUCAAACCUGUUCAUACAUGUAAGGAUUAGUAAUACAAUUGAUCCUUAAGCGCCAAUCCUUAAGACCAAAGCUGAAAGCUUUGAUAUAUGGUAACAUCCGACGUCGAAGAUCGAUAUCCUCAAUGUAAUCAAGAACCGAUUCAACCCGAGUUUUGUCUUCUACACUUAGCAUACUGAGAGCUUUUACCUAUGCAAUAGAUAAAAACAUAAGAUCUUUAGUAUAUUACUAAUCAAAGCAGUGUCACAUUACACAUAAUCAUUUUCCUUACUAACCUCGGAAGAUCUUUGAUCUAUGAGUUUACUGGAGAAAUACUUAUACACAGCCUUUGAGCUACUGGUUCCAGUAUCAACAUAAAUCUUAAGCCUCUUCUUUUGUUGUUCCUUUAUUGAGCAAAUCCUUGUCUACGCCGAGUUCCGGUGAUAAAAGCAUAUGAUCCUAAACGCAAAAGAAACUCGGCCGACACGAUUGGCCAGGAGCAGAGGCAUAAGCACCGGAGGUUUCACAAUUGGAAGAGACUGUACGGCGAGUCAACCACGAUUACACGGUGGAAAGAUCGGACGCCGGCGGUGGAGUUAUUCUCGGAAGCUUACCUACUACGUUUUUAAAAUCCAAGGGCUUUUAGAUUUUUUUUGUAUUCUAAGUGGACUAUUAAGUGGGCUAUUACUUUGGUUGGACCAAAACAAAUGAUUGUUUUGAAAUUUAAUCAGAAAAAGUGAUGUGGAAAAAUAGAAUAAUAUUAUUGGAAGAUAAAUUUGAGUUGUAUUAUUUGAUAUGUUUUGAUUGGGUAUCGAUUUUACUGAGGUAUCACCUCCAGAACACUCCAAAAACUGAGGUGUCAACACUGUAGAGACUUUUGUUGUUUUGAUUGUAUUGAUUGAAAAAUAUUUGAUCUAUUUUGAGUUUUAUAUAAUUUUUAGUAAUUGAAAAAUAAUUUUUUUUUCAGGGUAUUCUUGCUCCAGAGUCCAGACAAUAUUGAACGAGACAAAAUGGUCUACGACGUCGUUUACCAUUUUGGUUCUUCCUUGUUCUCUCACCCCGACUCGUUCACUGACUCGGUUGGUGCUUGAUUCGUGCCGAUGAAGUGCCGAUCCGUGGCCUGCCUCUGGUCUCGAGCUCCUCCAUCUCAUCGAGUCACCGCCACAGCCUCUCUAACAAAUCCACCGACUCUCUAUAUUUUAAAAUUUAAAAUCCGCCGAAAUACUGUUAUAUUUUUUAAAAUUUUUGUUUUGUUACAUAAAUUAUGUAAUUUUGUUAGUACAAACAAUAUUUAAAUUAUGUAAUUU